UUAUCAGGAGUAGUCAGCAUGGGUUCACCAGGGGGAGGUUGUGCUCAACCAGCCUGGUAGCCUUCUAUGAUGUCAUCACUGGCUGGGUGGAUGGGGGGUGAGCAGUGGAUGUAGUCUACGUUGAUUUCAGCAAGACGUUUGACACUGUCUCCUGCAACAUCCUUAUAACAAAGCUGAGGAAGUGUGGAAGAGAUGAGUGGACGGUCUAGGAAUAAUGGCAGCUGAUCCAGAUACAUCAUAAAAUGUGCAAUACAUAACACAAAAAAUCAAGAUAAAAGCUUUCUCCAGUGGACAAAAUUCUCAGGCUAUCACUACCCUGGUGUCAGGUUAAAGUGUGUGUCAAACAUGAAACAUUGUUCAACAUAGCACACUGCAACUGAUCAGAG